UUGCCCGCUUACAGAUAUUAGAUAGGCCUUGAUGAUAACUCUUUUUUAAAUUCAAAUUCUACUGGGCACAAGAAUUCUUUUAUGUGCACUUACGUUUUUUCUUGAUUGGAAGUUCAAUAAGUUCAUGGUUGUUUUGGAAAAAAAUCGAGUCUAUUUAUGGUGUUGAGGCAGAGGAAGGAGGGAUGUGGGAUUGAACAUGGUUCAAUAUAUAAGUUUAACAAUACACAUAGACACGAUUGGAUUGUAUCAGACUAUACUUUUAAAAAACUUAUUUUUCUUAUUUAAUACUGUCUAAGAUAGUCGAGAUUUUAGUUUAGCUCCUAAAGUGCUUCUAUUUCAUGUGAUAUUGUACCUUUUGUGAACAGUGGAGCUUGUCGUUUUAUUUCACAAGAGGGGAAUAAAGUGGUGUAUGAUAUAUGCUACUACUUUUAUGUGCUUUUGUUCAUGUUUGAGGAGUCUAAUUCCGAGACAUCUUUUAGCCUUGAUCAACAAUAGAAUAGUUGGCAAUUUCCAGAAUGUUAGAAACGGAUUUUUCAAGGAUAAAAUGCUUAAGAAAAUCCACAGAUCCCACCUAAAGCUUAAGACCUUUUUCUAUUGCUUUUGGUGGGGGUCUGCGGAAUUUAUGGUUUGUAGUUCUCUUCAUGUUCCGUAAUUUAUACCUAUUCUCAUACGUUGCUCAUUUCAAUUCUUUGGGCCAAAACCUCAAAACAAGCACUUACGUUUGGGAGAUUCUUUUUGCCAUUUCCAUCUCCAUCAUUGGUAACAUGAAGGUGAGUACUUGAUUCCCAUUAAAUUUUGUACAUAUAGCUGAAUGGCAUAUUUAAUACAGUACAAUGGACAAAAUGAAAAACUUAUUUUCUAGUCUUUAUACUGUCUUAUGAAGCAGGUCAUAAGCUUAUAUUUGAUUUCAGCUUUUAUAUCCCCCAAGAGACAUGUUUGAAGUCCCACCGUAUGCUUCCUGAUAAUUUGUGACAAUAUGAGCAAUACAAGUGGCAAGAAACCAGGGGAGUCAAAGAAGAUUCCUUAAUUCGUGACCAGCUAACAUCUUUGUUGGAGUUUACAUACAAGAGUUCUACUCCCAGCAGUGGAGGACAUGGGAAGCCUGCUUUAUCCAAUUAGCAUGACAUCGACAUUGCAGGAGGAAGAUUGAGAAAUCUGUGCAAGUGGCAAAAGUUAAAAUUCACAAGGCCUUGGCAAAAAGAGGGCAGGAGCUCACCUAGCCUCGGUGCCACCAUUAAUGCAUCAAAUUUUCUGCCAAUUUGCUUAGUUCCUUGUGCAAUAACUAUAUACAUAAUGCUAAAUUAUCACCCCGAGUACGUAGUGCAAAAUUACCUCCUCUAGUGCUUCAGAAGCCGGCCGAGCCUAAUUUUAGUGCAAAAGACCAUUCAUAGGAAGCAUAUUCUUGUAGAUGACAUUGCAGCACAAUGGUACCCUGUUGGAACACCUGAUGACAUAUACGGUAAUAGUGUUACCAUGUACGUAUUUUCUCCAAUCUCGAGCUUUCUUUUUAUACAUAGGUACGUUUUAUUUCAAUACACUAUUGCCACUGUGGAUAUACACGGAUUGAGAUUUGGCUUGAUUUUAUAAGAAAUUUACCAGUAUGUAUGUAUAUGUGUUUAUUUACUUGCUCUCUAUUUUUUUCAUUUACUGCUUUAGUGCUAUACAUAAAAACCAUGUCACUGAAAUUCUUUCUUAUUGAUUGUAUCGUCUUUUGCAUUCGCAUCAGUUGUUAGGAUUUUUUGUGAAGUAAAAAUGUUAUAUAGGAAAAAUUAUCCGUGUGGGAAACAUGUCACUAGUAGCAACAGAGAUCUUCCAUAGUAGUGUCUUUUUUUCAAGAAAUAAUUAUCUAUAAUUUGGUUAAUAAAAUGGCUUAGCAUAUAAACCUUCCAGUUUCUCCUUAUUAAUUAUGGUCAAUUUUACAACUCGAAGUUAUUCUACAACGAACAACAGUGAAAAUAUCCACAACAGUAAUUAUUUCAUAAACUAAAACUUGAUAACUAUGAAAUAAUAUUUGAAUACAGGACUCAAUACUAAAAACAAGUCUAAACCCAUCUAGUUAAAAAAUUUCCUGCUAUAAUCAGUACUAGACCAUGCCCAAAAUAGUAAAAUUUCGAGCCUAUCUCUCAUGCAUAUUAUCUUCUAUUCCUCGGAGACGAUACGUGAGCAAAAACCGCUGCUACUGGCUCUUGCACCACCACUACUACUACGGCCACUGCCAUCAAGGUUGCUGCUGCUUGCAUCAUCACCAUGUGAGACCUUUUUUGUCGCUUUCUUGAUGUAGCCAAAUGAAAUUGAGAAUUUUGGCGAUAUCCCCACAGUUGAAUCUAGUCACCUUCUUCCAAAUUAUUUGCUUUCACCAAUUUACUCCAAUCUUUUUUAAGCACAGCCAUUUUUUAAGUACCCCACCUCAUAUGCAACGUAUAGUAUUUACCUUCCGGAUCAAUUGUUACAAUCUUGACUUUGCCUUGGUUAACUUCUACUAAUUGUCGCUAUGCUGGUGUUAAGAAUUCCAUUAGUUUUUUGAGAAAGAAGAAUUCGGUUUUGAUCAGACUUGGUAUCAGAAUCUGUGAGCUGUUUUUGGUAUAAAAAGAUUGGCACGGUUCCUCCAUUCAACCAUAAUUCUUGAUAUAUUUCAGGAAGAAGCGGUUCAGGAAAAGGCUCUGCUCAUCUUGUACGAUAUUGCUCUUCAGCUCUCUUUUUUCUGGGGCAUUCUUUUGCUUGAACAAGGAACCAUAGCGAGAGGUUGUGGCAUAAAUGGUGGUUGUUGAUCAAGAAGAAGAAGAUAUUCAAAGAGGCUAAGUGAAACGAUCUUCUUCUUCUUCUUCUUCUUCUUCAUCGGAAACACUUUAGGGAGAGGAAGAUCAAGAUCUUCACCAUCAAACAGAUCGAAAGAAACUCUCUUCUUCAUUGUAGACAAGAAUAGAAUUUCUAUACGUAUCUAUUUCUUGCUUGCAGUAAAUUCUUUGUGUAGAACUGAAUAGGGGUAUGUUCAUUCUUAUAUAGAUGUUUAUGGUAAUCUCAUUCCAACUCAAUAAAGGAAACCCAGAGAACCCCUGAAACUCGUUAUGGUAACAUUUGUUGAUCAA